UACGUAGGUGGCAAGCGUUGUCCGGAAUUAUUGGGCGUAAAGCGCGCGCAGGCGGUUCCUUAAGUCUGAUGUGAAAGCCCCCGGCUCAACCGGGGAGGGUCAUUGGAAACUGGGGAACUUGAGUACUGAAGAGGAAAGCGGAAUUCCACGUGUAGCGGUGAAAUGCGUAGAGAUGUGGAGGAACACCAGUGGCGAAGGCGGGUCUCUGGGCCGAAAUUGACGCUGAGGAGCGAAAGCGUGGGGAGCAAACAGG
rnacentral:rRNA from 1 species